UGCCUUAAAGCUAGCUUUAUUAUUAUAA
rnacentral:rRNA from 1 species